rnacentral:rRNA from 1 species
CAGUAGCCACGGUAGUACGAAGGGUGCAAGCGUUACUCGGAAUUACUGGGCGUAAAGCGUGCGUAGGUGGUGGUUUAAGUCCGUUGUGAAAGCCCUGGGCUCAACCUGGGAAUUGCAGUGGAUACUGGGUCACUAGAGUGUGGUAGAGGAUAGUGGAAUUUCCGGUGUAGCAGUGAAAUGCGUAGAGAUCGGAAGGAACAUCUGUGGCGAAGGCGACUAUCUGGGCCAACACUGACACUGAGGCACGAAAGCGUGGGGAGCAAACAGGAUUAGAUACCCCAGUAGUCCCUGUCUCUUAUAC